AGAUGUGAGUACAAUGAGCUGUUUCGUGCCAUCAUCAUAAAAACUAUUUCUUGCUCCUGGGAUUUUGCUUCUUAAGGGUGGAUGCUGGAUAUACACAUGUGAUAGAGCACCAGAACUACCAAAACCAGAAGGCUGAGAAGAAGAUGCUUUUGUUGACAUGUUUCACUUCCCCCUAUGUAGAACUACUGACCUGAGAAACACCUAAACUAUGCAGAAGGCUGAGAAGAAGAUGCUUUUGCUGACAUGUUUCACUUCCCCCUAUGUAGAACUACUGACCUAAGAAACACCUAAACUAUGCCGAACUGCAAAUGAAAAAACAAAUAUAAUGGUGCAAUGAGUUGUAUGCCAAAACAUUACAAUUAAACGAACAAAUAUUAUCCUUCAAAAACAACUAAAACGUCAAACCUUUUCAUGGAUGAUUUAACUUUCAACAACAGCUGCUUUUCACUCUGAAAUGCAUAUAUAUACACACACACUAUUCAACUUUCAACACUUUCUUCUUAGCUGUUAAAUAAACAAGGUAAACAUCAGGCAAACGAAGGAAUGCCAUACUACCCUGUGGUACACACUUUGAGAACUUUUCUUUUAUCAAAUAAUGAUGGUGAGACUA
rnacentral:lncRNA from 1 species